GCGCUCACUUUGACAUCACAUAGACUAAAAUUGGAAUGAUACAGAGGAGAUUAGCAUGGCCCCUACGCAAGGAUGAUACGCAAAUUCGUGAAACAUUCCAUUUCUUU
ensembl:snRNA U6 U6 spliceosomal RNA